ACUUGCUUAAUUGAGGCCUGCUUGCUUCAUGUAAGAAUAAAUUGGCCUAGGCCCAAAGCAGAAUGGGCAGCAGCAAAAUACAGCAUCUUCUUCAGGUGCACCGAUCAACUCUCUACAGCUUCCUCUUCGGUCAAAGCUAUGGCUGCUGAUAUCGUAAAAAGAAGUCGCAAAGCAUCAAACUUUUCCUUCCUUAGAACCCUAACCGCUACUCAAACCCGUAUUUUCCGUAAUUUAGCAACUUCAGCACAAGCCGAAUCAUCAGAUGACCCAUCUUCUUCCUCCUUCACUUUUUACGGUGAAGAUCCAAAUUCUUCAACAACCAAUGAUAAUAUUAUCAUAAAGGGUCCAAAAAAGACUUCAUCACAAGAUUCUGCAUCUGUGUCUAUGCCUAUGUCAUUCAUGACUGGAUCAAUUGUGGGGAAGAGGUUUUACAAGAAAGUAACAACUACAGAAGCUGAUGAUGGAAUUGGUUGGAGUGUUAUGCUUGAUUAUCGUACCCUUAAAACCCCUUCUAAGCGGCCACUCAAAUGCCCAACGUUAGCUCUUGCUAAAGCUAUUGCUGCUGAAUGGGAAUACCAGAGCGUCAAGUGGAGAAAAUCGAUCCUCUUCUUAAGUGGGUAGAGUCAGAAUUUGGCUUCAAGACAGCCGUAUAUACCAGUUUUUUUGGUGGCAAGCAAGACGAUGGUCUUGUUAGUGCCAUUGAAAGCCUUCUCAAGAAAAUGGAUGAUUGUGAAUUAGCGACAAUUGAUGCAAUUGCUUCAGCUGCACAUUCGCUAGUCAUUGCACUUGGACUUUUCCGUGGUAGAUUGGGGAUUGAAGAGGCUAUUGAGUUGAUUAGGCUCGAGGAAGAUUUGCAGGUUGACAGUUGGGAUCUCGUUGAAGGCGGCCAUGAUGUUGAUAUUGCAGAUUUAUAAGUUCAGAUUGCUUCAGCUGUGGUGUUUCUUGGACUUACGAGGAGAGUAUAGAUAUGGUACUCAUUUUGUGAGUUUUACCUUAUUGUGUCUCUUUAGUACUUCAGCUCAAUACCAAUAGCAUUUCCUAUGAACUCAAAAAGUUGGAAGUGGCCAAUGAGGUGAAGUCAAUAUGUGAGUGAGUUGUAUCAAACUUGCUGCUUUUACAAGGACUAAAGGUGGCCUGCUGGAAAUUACCAGAUUUUUAUGAAUAAUGAGCCUACUCUGAAAUCAAAUACUCUUCUUUGAACUUGGACUACCCUUCAAUUUUGAGGAGCAAGCAUAAUUUAGCUCGAAAGUCCCAGUCUUUUUUUCUCUGUUUUUCGAAGGUAUGAGAUAGCGUAAUGCCUAUUAUAUUGUGAUGAAGGUUGGAGUAGCUGGUCCUUGUAUGGAUAUUAAGCGAUUUUAUGACUUUCUUUCUUAUAUUUUGAGAAACAGAUUUGAAAUCCAUAAUGCCUCCUCAUUUAACGAUUUUGAAGUUUACAAUCGGACAAGUCUUGCCUCUUGGUCUAGAUUAUGCUGCCAAGCAAGGCCCAGCUUCAAGUGCUUCAUGCUCUCUAACAAAAGAAUCCCAAUUGCCAAUGAAUUGGAAUGACAGACGAAUGCCCUCAGCACUGGACGCAGAGAGGUGGCUGCUUUGUGAUAUCACAAUAGCAACAGGCUAUGUCGCAGUUGUUGUUACAACCUAUUAGUAGAAGAAAAAUGUUGCAAGAUUGUUAGUUUAUUAUCCACCUAAUGGUAAAAUAUGAAAGGAUUGUAAUGCAGAAAUGGGUUGUUUUGAGUAACCUGUUACUGUGAUGUAUUGAUAGGGUUCCACAGUUUUAGGAUUUAUUAGAAAGGGAAGGCGAGUGCUUGUUCCAACUUUACUCAUAUUCUGAAUAAUCACCAUAUACACCAGAAAGCUAGCUACUACUAACAACUUCAUUCUUCUUCUUACACAACAUAGCAUCUGAUAUUGGUUCUAAUUAUAUAGGAAUAGGAUCUCUAUAUUAAUAUUCUAGUUUAGGAGUUUGAGCAAACCUGAGGAAAAGACUUAGGUAGUCCUUUAAAUAUGCCUAUGAGAGUAUUUUUGUCCCUUAUCUGUAUUACUAAAUGUAAAAUAUCCCUUAUCUUUGUAAAAGUGGACAAAUAUAGUCUAGCCCUUAACAAAGGUUAAAAAACUAACUGAAAAAUCUUAAAUAGAGUUAAAAUAAACGCUGUUAAACUAAAAACAGAAAACAAUGCGGGAGAAGGGAAAAUCCCUAGUUCCUUCUCUUUGCUUUGGCGCCAACAUUGUUCUUCACUUUGCUUUGGCGCCAGAAUCAUUCUUCUAAAAUUAAAACUCUUCCAUUGUCUAUCUUUAUUCUCCAUCACCAUCCAUGUACAUCAAGAGGAACUGUGCAAUAGAAGCAAGCCCAUCUUAUGGUGAGAAUCUAUUUUUACCAACUAAUUUUCAGAAUCUUUGCUUUAUAAGUUUUUACCCUGAUUCUUGUUUUUGUUUGUUAAUUCGUAUCAAAGUAGGCUAUAUUUGGGUACUUUAUAUUUUUUUAAUCUUAUUUCUACAUAGGAAACUAAAUCUUGUUAGAUUAUAAGUUGCUUUUAAUUUUGUUUCUGCUUGCCUUUACAAAAGUAUAAUUAGAACUUCUUUGUUUAUUUUUUGAGUUGCUUUUAUAUUCAGUUCUGCUUGCUUCAAAGUAUUUUGGUUUGAACUCCUAUUAAAAAUAUGGUUUUUAUUCUUGACAGACUCUGUAAUUGCGGCGUCAUGUUUCAGCAUUAAGGUAUAUCAUAGGGGUUUGAUGAAGCAUCGGCCAACUAAACACUAUGUUAGAGGUGUGGUCGACUACUUUGACUAUGUGAAACCAACAGAUCUUAAUAUGACAGAGUUGAGGAAGAUGGCCGAGAUUUGUGGUUACGUCAAUGAUUCAGUCAUAUUCUGGCACAAAUGUGAGAUAGAACUUGAGAAUGAAGAUCAAACAAUCAACAUUGAAAAUAUGCAACAAAAUGUUGGAAUUACUGAGAAACUGG